GUCUAUGGCCAUACCUCCCUGAACACACCCAAUCUCAUCUCAUCUCGGAAGCUAAGCAAGGUUGGGCCUGAUUAGUACUUGGAUGGGAGAAAUAAAGCAAGAUGUUAAGCCA
rnacentral:rRNA from 1 species